rnacentral:rRNA from 1 species
GCCAGACUCCUACGGGAGGCAGCAGUGAGGAAUAUUGGUCAAUGGGCGAGAGCCUGAACCAGCCAAGUCGCGUGAGGGAAGACGGUCCUAUGGAUUGUAAACCUCUUUUGCCGGGGAGCAAAAAGCGGUACGUGUACCGCAUCGAGAGUACCCGGAGAAAAAGCAUCGGCUAACUCCGUGCCAGCAGCCGCGGUAAUACGGAGGAUGCGAGCGUUAUCCGGAUUUAUUGGGUUUAAAGGGUGCGCAGGCGGCGAGUUAAGUCAGCGGUAAAAAUGCGGAGCUCAACUCCGUCGAGCCGUUGAAACUGCCGUUCUUGAGUGAGCGAGAAGUAUGCGGAAUGCGUGGUGUAGCGGUGAAAUGCAUAGAUAUCACGCAGAACUCCGAUUGCGAAGGCAGCAUACCGGCGCUCAACUGACGCUGAAGCACGAAGGCGUGGGUAUCGAACAGGAUUAGAUACCCCAGUA